AAGAAAUCGUCUGACGUCUGCUGCUGCAUGGCUGCUGUUACCGGUGUAGCACCAAGCACAUUUACGUGAAAUUGUGAAUGAAUCCAAGAAAAAAUGAUUUUUAACCUAUUUAUGCUAUCGUAGAAGUUCUCUAUCGUUUUGCCCUGGUUUUGCCAAAGACUACGAAGUCUGUGGUUUUGCAACUAUGCAUACUUGCACAGUUGCACGUGAUUUGAUCCUUCUGAUUCCUAAUCGACGGCCAUCCAACGAAGCUGUUUGUGUGAUUGAGCUCUAUUAAUUUUUGAAGAUGGUUGCAAACAAUUUCAAGAAAAAAGUGCUGCUAAAGAAAAAAUAACCACCUCCUUCCAGUCUUGUCAAGCCAGAAAACGCAUUUAUAUCGCAGGUAGGAUGC